UGGGGAAUAUUGGACAAUGGGCGAAAGCCUGAUCCAGCCAUGCCGCGUGUGUGAAGAAGG
rnacentral:rRNA from 1 species